rnacentral:rRNA from 1 species
AGUGAACGCUGGCGGUAGGCCUAACACAUGCAAGUCGAACGGCAGCACAGUAAGAGCUUGCUCUUACGGGUGGCGAGUGGCGGACGGGUGAGGGAUACAUCGGAAUCUACUUUUUCGUGGGGGAUAACGUAGGGAAACUUACGCUAAUACCGCAUACGACCUACGGGUGAAAGCAGGGGAUCUUCGGACCUUGCGCGAUUGAAUGAGCCGAUAUCGGAUUAGCUAGUUGGCGGGGUAAAGGCCCACCAAGGCGACGAUCCGUAGCUGGUCUGAGAGGAUGAUCAGCCACACUGGAACUGAGACACGGUCCAGACUCCUACGGGAGGCAGCAGUGGGGAAUAUUGGACAAAGGGCGCAAGCCUGAUCCAGCCAUACCGCGUGGGUGAAGAAGGCCUUCGGGUUGUAAAGCCCUUUUGUUGGGAAAGAAAAGCAGCAGGUUAAUACCCCGCUGUUCUGACGGUACCCAAAGAAUAAGCACCGGCUAACUUCGUG